ensembl:lncRNA
GGGGGGGGAGGGGGACGGACGCUGUGUGACCUGUUGAGUGGCUGCGUUGUUUUGCUUGGGUUUCAAGGUGUUCAGCGAUUGGGCGAAAGGGAGCAUGAGUUGGUUAACUUCUUCUUUAUUUAAAUGGAUUUAACUUUGAGCACUGAGGACGUCGGCUUAAGCACCUUGUGUCACACGAUGACCUUGAAAUCGAAAUCAAUGGCUCCGUUGUAUCCGCAAGGGCCGCGCCACUUCACCCUGCCUCCAUCACAUGGUUAAAGCGUGAGGUCACAGGAAGGGGAACCAAUUAGAAUGGAGAAUAGGCAGCUGAUCCCGCGUGUAAUAACAAACAAUGCGUCCAACUUUUCCAGCUUUGGAGGUCAUUGAUCCCAGAGCCCAAACUGUAAAAUCAAUGCCAUGGACGUUUCACUCAGGUUCGCUACCUUUCCAGAGGCAUGUAUUGAUUGUGCAGCAUGGCUUCCCAUCGAUUAAUGUAGACCCCCCCCCCAAUACCCACACCCAUAAUCAACCUGUUGAUUUAAUCAAACCCAAAAUGUCCCCUUGAAUUGAGAUUGGAUUAGAGCCAUGUGACGGAACAUGUGACUCACGUGUUGUUGAUUAGCAGAUCUUCUCCCACGAUGCUGCCGUUUCUUUUAAAUCAAUUCUCCCGAAGGCCGGCUUACUCUUGAAACCAAGUAUAGGUGAUUGUGUUUUAAAAGGGCUUCACUAGUUAGUUUGUAAUCCAUGGCUCAUUGUUCCUGUAGACUAGAGUAUCCAUGUUCCUUUGUUGGUGUGUUGAUCUCCUUUAUGGCUAACAUGCACUAAUCCUGUUCUUUGUCAUCAAUUGGGCAUCAAUACAUUGGCCCUAUUCAUCAGCAAACCCUCAUUUUCUAUUAUAUUCGUUUUUUCCUAUGGGAAAGGUACAUGCCAAAAUGCCAAUGCGAUUAUGAAUGACUUGAGUCCAAAUGAGUGAAUAGCUGUUGUAUGGUUCGAUACUGUUCCAGUGCAAACAAUUGGUCCCCUAUUCCCUAUUCCUUUGUGCUAAUAUCAGAGUCCGCCCUAUUAAGCUGCUACCAAGACUGUGCUGACAUUAUUUGAAUGAGUCAGUGGGAGCAAGAAGGAAGGAGAGAGAGACCGAGAGUCAGAGAGAGAGAAUAAUAGAGAGAGAGGGACAUACAGAGAGAGGGAUAGAGAACAAAAAAAUGCAAAUUUUCCAGGCAAUAUCAGGCACUGUCUCUGUGUCAUUGUGCGAGAAAAAAGAAAAAAUCUAUUAAGUAACAAGCUAUAUAUCAUAAAGUGUAACUCAACUCCCGCUCUAUGGAGGACAUUCCGGAACCUUCCGCAGAGUUCAGCGUGAGCCCUCACGGCCUGAGGCGGUGGCGGCAGCGGACAUGGCUGACGCAGAGCUGCGCCGCACCGCAGGCGUCCUCCGGUCGUUCAUUAAGCUGACGCUAAGUAAGCUACGUCAACACGCGCGCGUUGACGCGAAGGAGUUUUCACUAGCCUGACGUUGGGGUGGUUGUGGAGGAGGAGCUGGAGGAGGAGGAAGGGCGUCGACAGUGUGAUGGUUCUUCUCUUGGACCUUGCAAUGAGGCGGGGUUGAACUCCUUCCCCGUGCUUAGCUCUGACUGACUAUAAAUGAGAGUUGUUGUUUUCUUUCUGUAUCAGACUUGAAAGGAACUGAAUGCCUUGGUGUUAAUGUGUUAGCAAAUCAGGGUCUCCCUUACUGUUCUGAGGUGUGUCUUUUAUUUACUAGUACCUUUUCUUUGAGUGGUUGUUCUUAACCAUGUGCCCCAUGCACAUGGGCUGUAUAUCCCUUGUGCCUAGUACCUGGUUUCCACAUAGUCUAUUUUUGUGGUAUGUAUGUGCCUGUAAAAAUGCGAAACAUGUGUUUUUAUUUCCAACCUUGCAAUAUAUGUACAAACAUUAUCUAUAGACUAGUGUUGCCGAAAUUAAAAUGACAAUGUCAGUAUCUUUAAUUUUUUUUCCCGGAUUUGGGGAAAACACAAAAAUUGCACAUUUCUGUUGGUUUGAGCCUUCCAACACCGUGCGCGCUGUACUCAUCCUCUGCACCGUGUGGUGUGUGCACGCAGCCCGGCGCACUGCCGUGCUUCGGCCACACGCUCUGCUGGAGGAGGGGCACUUUUCACUGGGAGAGGUGUGAGCCGUGGGCGGGCCGCUGGUGUGCGGCGGCGGUCUAGACGUCCAGACGACCCCCCGCGGUCACUAACCAGUACACAGAACAAAAAAAAAAGAUCAUUUUGAAGAGAUGCCUACAAAACAUGAAAACCCUCUCUCUCACACAAAAAAAAUUAAUAAUACUAUUCUGUGCACAUGUGUUCUAAAAAUCUUCAUAGGAAUACAUGUUUUAGCCUUUUAAUAUUCAAACAAUGCUGGUUAACGCACUAAUCUGUCAAUUGAAACAAUGAAUCUCCAAGACUGUGAAUUUGGCCUGAGAGUCCGGGGUCUGCGCUCUUGUUCUCCGCUCGACGGGCUCAUGAGCUACCCUGUCAGGUUAUAGCAUAGCCUGCUGCAUGCGUGUGUUGUUCUUCUCCAGGCAGAGUGCUGUACGUCAUUCUUAGUGGGACCUUCAAACCUAGACAAUUGCUGUGUACCAACUACUGUAACAUGAUUUAACUUAGUGUUAAAAGUUAUAUACCUUAGUGUUGUAGCUACUGUAGCCUGCUUAGCUUAUCUAAGCCUCCUUUUUCUGCUUCAGGACUCUGUGUAUUGUGUGUUUGAGUUUGUAUGUGCGUGUGUUCCUGUGCCUUUUCCUUCUACGAUGUAGGUCCCACUUGAGAAUAGCACGCCACCGGUGGUUGCGUGUAAACCUCUGCGUAAAGCAGGGGGAGAGAGAGAGAGAGAGAGCAACUGACACUCAAUGGCUGAAAAAGGUCCUAAAUUGGACAGGCCUUCAUUGGCGCUUAAACCAGUGCGAUGACUUUAGCACAUAGCUAGGAUUUAGUAGCAUUCCAUUGCCUGCACAAGUACAGCAUAUGUGUCCUCCGUCUGGACACCACUUCUACCAGCACCAUGUAGAUAGCAGCACAGAUAUUCUCUCUCCCCCUCUCGCUCUCUCUCUGUCCCCCGCUCUCUCUCUUUGGAGGACAGUCUCCACGCAACCACUGUCAGCCUCAGCGUGAGGGUUGCUCUGAGAUGGGGCUUGUCACUUGGUGAGGUUCAAGCACUUCAGAGUUCCAGCUCUGUCUAAGUUUAGGUCUACGGCCUCAGGUUUAAAUCAGCUCGGGGCCCAGUUCGGGACCCCCUCAAGCUCAUGUCCGUCCCGUGCUUGUCCCGUGCUAAGGGGGAACGGCUGGCAGUAAAUGGCGGGGGGAUGUGGAAGUGAUUUAAGCCUGGGACCGAAGGCUAUCCUUUCUGCCACCUUUGCUGGUCUAGAACACGGUGCCACGCCCUGAUCUCUCUCAAUAAGCUGGUCUGUCAGUCAGUGGCAAUGUUGUUUAAGCGUUCCUAACAAAAUGAUUCAUUGAUGUGCAAUAAAAGAUGAGCGCAUUGG